UGUGGCCCCACUACUAAUCCACACAGUGGAGAAGUUUAUAAACGGGCCGAGGUAUAUAUGUACAUAUUUCUAUAAGUAUGUUGCAUGCAACGUUCGCUGCGUUAUUUGUGCCAAGUGCUGGUUACCGUUAUGUGUAAAAACCUAAUAUAUAUAAAGAAAAUAGCAAAACAAAGCAACUACGUCGCUUUGAAGGCAAGCGGUAUAUGAGUUACAGUUUAAAAAUGCUAGCAAAUAAUUACCAGGCACACAAAUAUCAUUUCAAGCUGUCGUAUGGGUCAGCCUCGAUAUUAGUAUAUUGGGAAUUAAGUCUCCGAAAAUGUAAAGAAGAAAGCAGUGCUAAAAUAAACUCACUGAUCAACGCGGGUGCUUCUUAUUUUGCUUUAAAGUUCGAAAGAUUUUGCUUUUCAAUAACAGGUCUAUCAUUUUCAGAUCCACGUGGUCAUUUUGUCCGACCAAUGCUCAAGAAUUCUAAGGGUCUUAAUACCAUAUCCUCUGGGUUUCUUCACGUGCUAAUUCCAUCACAAGUUUGCAUAAUUCUCGCCACAAGACUGACGCGCCUUAUGUGCGCUCGACAUAAUACAAGAAGAGUACCCAAGCCUACAUAUAAAUAUUGUAUCCUUCUGCAUUUGUAUUCUCACUGCACGACAACAACUCUUGAAAGCGCUGUAGCAAGUAAUGAAAGCCGCUUAUCGCCGACUAAAUGUUACAAUAAUAAACGUGAAUAUAUUUCACAUGUAAAUGGGCAUAAAUAUGACAGCGCCGAGGGGAGUAAUCAGCGGAAGUUGCAUGAAAAAGUGUGCUGCAUAUGCUGCAGAGCCAAAUGUAUACACAUAUUUAUGCAUGUGUGUUUCUGUAAGUUUGUAGUUCGGCCAGUCGUACUGCAGCGAGCCAAGCGAAUAUCUAAUAAAUUAUUUAUGAAAAUUUGAAGUGAUUUGGAAUUUCUGCAAAUUACCCCAUCCGUGACCUUUCAACUGCCGUCUAACCGAAGGUGUCGUGGCAGACACUGAUGGUCACGGAUAAGCGUCUUAUUGCCGAUGAUAUUGCAGGUGUCAAGGUGUCGGCGACGGGACUUGUGAAAGGAAACGCCACACUUUAUGAGCAUGAUGGACAUGGCAGCGCCUUGUGUUCCUCGUUGUUGCAUGUCAGCGGACGUGUGAAGCCUUGGUAAGUGUCUUACAACUGCGCGUUUGUAUCCCAUGCAUUCAGUGGGAGUUUAUUACCACAAAGAAAGCGCCUUGGCAUCUUGAUGCCUACUAAAUCAUUUUGGCUUACAUCAAUGUAGCUUAUAACAAUAACAACUAAAAAUCAUCUACACUGAUAAUGAAUAUUUGCACUAAAAGGGAAUAAACGUUAAGCUUAGUCUUCAUAGUGUCUUGA